rnacentral:rRNA from 1 species
CUACGGGUGGCUCCAGGCGCGAAAACUUUACAAUGCGGGCAACCGUGAUAAGGAAACCCCGAGUGCCAGCAUAGGUUGGCUGUCCUCUAGUGUAAAAAACUGGAGAAGAAAGGGCCGGGCAAGACCGGUGCCAGCCGCCGCGGUAAUACCGGCGGCUCGAGUGGUGGCCGCUAUUACUGGGCUUAAAGGGUCCGUAGCUUGAGAUGUGUGUCCCUUGAGAAAUCCACCGGCUUAACUGGUGGGCGUUCAGGGGAAACUGCAUUUCUAGGGACCGGGAGAGGUGAGAGGUACUGCCGGGGUAGGAGUGAAAUCCUGUAAUCCCGGUGGGACCACCUAUGGCGAAGGCAUCUCACCAGAACGGCUCCGACAGUGAGGGACGAAAGCUGGGGGAGCAAACCGGAUUAGAUACCCGAGUAGUC